rnacentral:rRNA from 1 species
UACGAAGGGGGCUAGCGUUGUUCGGAAUUACUGGGCGUAAAGGGCGCGUAGGCGGCUUCGCUAGUCGGGCGUGAAAUGCCUGGGCUUAACCCGGGAAUUGCGCUCGAUACUUCGAGGCUAGAGUGUGGGAGAGGUUGGUGGAAUUCCCAGUGUAGAGGUGAAAUUCGUAGAUAUUGGGAAGAACACCCGUGGCUAAGGCGGCUCUCUAGUACGUGACUGACGCUGAGACGCGAAAGCGUGGGGAGCGAACAGG